rnacentral:piRNA from 1 species
UAGUGACCGCUAAGCCUGCCUGCUUUUC